GUGCGCCACGUGCUUGGGAACCUGUGUGUGUGUGUUCGUGCGUUGGCAGCUGCCGUACAUUGGCGUGGGAGCGUGUGUGUCAGUAUGUGGUUAACCCCGCUCAUCCCCAAUUCUCCCCGGGGUUGUCGACCUUGAAUGGGCCAUUAACAUAUCCUUCUUCUGGGCAGUAUAAUUUUAAAUUCCUGGCUUAAAUUGGCAACGGCCCGGUGGUCGAUAUAGGCGCGGUGGUGAGGUCCGGGGGGUGAGGAUUUCCAUGUUGCUAAGGGCACACCUACGUCUCAAGUGUACCUUCGUGACCUCUUCUCUUCAUGUCGGGUUCCUGCUACGGGCUUUUUCGUACACUGCCCCCUGGCGCCUUCGGGCGGGGUGAGGUGUGAGAGGACAACAGCUUUCCUCGCGACGGUGCUUGCUUGGGGGUGGGAGUAAGUACGGCUGUGGUACGACGACUUGUGGUACGGCAGGUUUUGGUCGGUAUAAAUGCCUCUCGGGAGUCAGUGUGGGGUCUCCGAGGAAGACUGUUCACCUGCGUGUUGAUGUAGUGUUUUUUGGCGAACGGUACGGCAAGGCUUGUCGUACACAUGGACGAGACAAAGGAUGCAGGCGGCAUCUCUGCAUGCGGCCAUAACCGCCGUACGUGUGGUGGACAACUGCUGCGAUGUGGAAGCGGGCGGGGGCCGGAGGCGGGGGUGGGGGGGAGAGUUGGGAUGAAGGGUGGAGGUGGAGGUGUUGCGGGUGGUGGUGAGGUUGGUGCUUAUAGAGAUUGGGGGGAGGUUCGUUUACAGCCUUUUUCUAGGGCAGUUGGGGCGGUUGACGGGCGGUAUAUACGUAUGCAUGUGCGUGCGAGGGUCUACGUACGAGGUGAAUGCGUGCGGGUGAGAGGCAUGGCGCCAUCUUGGAAAGGCUAAGGGCCUUUUUUUGGUGUGUGUGUGUAUUGGGGGGGGUAUGUGGGGGGUCACGUUCGUGGGAAGGUGAGGGAGGCGCUGGAGUAGCGAUGGAGACACACAAUUUAUCUUUUGUGAUUGAUCAUGUCAUUGCGCGUGUGUGAGUGUGUAUGUAUGUGCGCGUGUGUGUGUCUUUUGUGAUAUUCCCGUACUGCCCCUCUUCGACGAGUUUACUGAGAAGUGGGUUGGGAAUAAUCUCUGGUGCUCAUUGCGCUAGAUCUUCGGCCAGCGCUGUUUAGGAAUCGUGUAAUAAAUCAAACGUAUAAAAAUUUGGAUAAUCCCCCAUGUGUGUGUGCGUGUGUGUGUAUGUGUAUGUGUGUGUGGUUGGGGGGGGGGGGAUAAAAGGGAAAAAAUCCGCUAAAAUGGUUCGGGAGCUGAGACCGUAGUUUGGUAAAAGCCUCGGCUGUAGGAGUGCUUGGGCUCGCGGUUGUUGUUGUUGUUGUUGGGGGUGGGGGUGGGGUGCUACGCGCGGACAUUUAGGAGGCUGCUCCGCGGCUCUUGCAAAACGGUAAAGACCCGUCGGAAAUGCACUUGCACUACUGAGGCAUGGUGUUUAGAAGCCAAAUCGCGAUCUUGCAAAGUAAUGAAAAUCUGCGUGCCAUUAAUCUUGCUGCGAGCUACCUGACUUGAUGCAUGAUACGCUAUCUAUAGAUGGCUGGCCGGGUGGCGGUUGGAAACAGCAUCGUGGCCUGUGGUUUUCCUCCAAGUAAGAAGACGUGGCCGAUAUUGUAAUUCACUAACUGUGGAUCAUAUUUUGUUUAUAGCCAGAGUCCAAUCGCAUAACUAAAAGAGAACCCGCGCUGAGCAGGAAGUCAGCUUCCUGCUGGCCGCAUCGGAAAAGUAUAGCCUUUAGAGACCUAGGUCGUAGCUGUUGACAUAGAUGCGCAGUAUAACUAAUUGCUAAGACAGUCGAUGGGGCAAGAGAAACUCUGGCUCUGAUUAUUACGGCGCAGUUGAGGCCUAACCAACACCUAAAAGCUCCAACAACCCCAUACAGCGUCGCAUAAGGACAUAGCUAGUAAAAGCAGCAGACUGAGAAAGUUAUAGUACAAAUUAGGCAAGUAGCAAAAUUGGUUCUACUUCCGCAUCGUCAGUGGAAUCAGUUCCCCGCAUCCAAGGCUCACAAUUCGCAUCCGUAGUGUUUAUCCUGCUGUUCGUUUGUGUUUGAAACACAUAUACUGUCAGGCUUGCGUAACGUUUUCCCUAGUUUUUAGACAAUGAUGGACUGUUUGCAAAUUGAGGCUCGCACUUCCCUUGCGGCAUCACCGUCGCCGCGCUGCCAGGCCAUGCAAGCUAUAGAUUGCUGGUGGGUGUAUCUUCUGCAACCCAGCUAUCGGAGCUUACGUUCUACCAGAAGUUGGUCCAUAAAACCGUCUGUGGCUCACAGGUUGGGUCGCUCCCGACGCGAUUGGAGUGGGAAACCACUGCGCUAUGGACUCCUGGUAAGAUUUUAUUGAAAAAACGAUCAAUUUUCGGUCCCCAAUUUUCGUCUUUGCGGCCUCUGCAAGCACCGACAAACACCGCUGCGCCUUGAGCACCCAUCGCCUAUGAGCUC
rnacentral:lncRNA from 1 species